AACGAACGCUGGCGGCGUGCCUAACACAUGCAAGUCGAGCGCUCUCCUGGUUUCGGCCAGGAGGGAGCGGCAGACGGGUGAGUAACACGUGGGUAACCUACCCCUGGGUGGGGGAUAACUACUCGAAAGGGUGGCUAAUACCGCAUGAGACCACGAUUCUUCGGAGUUGGGGUCAAAGGCGCAAGCCGCCUGGGGAGGGGCCCGCGUCCGAUUAGCUAGUUGGUGAGGUAACGGCCCACCAAGGCGACGAUCGGUAGCUGGUCUGAGAGGAUGAUCAGCCACACUGGUACUGAGACACGGACCAGACUCCUACGGGAGGCAGCAGUGGGGAAUAUUGCGCAAUGGGCGAAAGCCUGACGCAGCAACGCCGCGUGGGUGAUGAAGGCCUUCGGGUCGUAAAGCCCUGUCAGAGGGGAAGAAACCUCUCCGCAAGGGGAGCUGACGGUACCCUCGGAGGAAGCACCGGCUAACUCCGUGCCAGCAGCCGCGGUAA
rnacentral:rRNA from 1 species